GAUGAACGCUGGCGGCGUGCCUAAUACAUGCAAGUCGAGCGAAUGGAUUAAGAGCUUGCUCUUAUGAAGUUAGCGGCGGACGGGUGAGUAACACGUGGGUAACCUGCCCAUAAGACUGGGAUAACUCCGGGAAACCGGGGCUAAUACCGGAUAAUAUUUUGAACUGCAUGGUUCAAAAUUGAAAGGCGGCUUCGGCUGUCACUUAUGGAUGGACCCGCGUCGCAUUAGCUAGUUGGUGAGGUAACGGCUCACCAAGGCAACGAUGCGUAGCCGACCGGAGAGGGUGAGCGGCCACACUGGGACUGAGACACGGCCCAGACUCCUACGGGAGGCAGCAGUAGGGAAUCUUCCGCAAUGGACGAAAGUCUGACGGAGCAACGCCGCGUGAGUGAUGAAGGCUUUCGGGUCGUAAAACUCUGUUGUUAGGGAAGAACAAGUGCUAGUUGAAUAAGCUGGCACCUUGACGGUACCUAACCAGAAAGCCACGGCUAACUACGUGCCAGCCGCCGCUGUAA
rnacentral:rRNA from 1 species